rnacentral:rRNA from 1 species
UGAGGAAUAUUGGUCAAUGGGCGGAAGCCUGAACCAGCCAUGCCGCGUGAAGGAAUAAGGCCCUAUGGGUCGUAAACUUCUUUAGACGCAGAGCAAUAAGGUCCACGCGUGGAUCGAUGAGAGUAUGCGUAGAAUAAGCAUCGGCUAACUCCGUGCCAGCAGCCGCGGUAAUACGGGGGAUGCGAGCGUUAUCCGGAUUUAUUGGGUUUAAAGGGUGCGUAGGCGGCAAGGUAAGUCAGCGGUGAAAGACCAGGGCUCAACUCUGGAAGUGCCGUUGAUACUGUCUGGCUAGAAUGAUUCCGCCGUGGGAGGAAUGAGUAGUGUAGCGGUGAAAUGCAUAGAUAUUACUCAGAACACCGAUUGCGAAGGCAUCUCACGAGGGGUUCAUUGACGCUGAGGC